GACUGGCCGCUUCUUGCCACCGUCGUCUGUGACCAGGAAAGAAGAAAUCAUUGUUAUGAAGAAAUUGAAGCUGUGCAAUAUUGCAAAGUCCAUCUACAACUGAAUUGCAAAGCUAAGAUCCUUUUAUCAACACUUUGAUCACCAGAGCCUGAGUCUCCUCAGCUUGAACAUCAUUUCCUAGGAAGUAUUCUAAUGCCCUGCAGAACUAUACAAUUGGAGAGGGACAGGAAAAUAUGGAAUUAUUGGAAUGGUAAACCCUACAUCCUUUGG